rnacentral:rRNA from 1 species
AUUGAACGCUGGCGGCAUGAUUUACACAUGCAAGUCGAACGGUAACAGGCCGCAAGGUGCUGACGAGUGGCGAACGGGUGAGUAAUGCAUCGGAACGUGCCCAGUCGUGGGGGAUAACUACUCGAAAGAGUAGCUAAUACCGCAUACGAUCUAUGGAUGAAAGCGGGGGACCGUAAGGCCUCGCGCGAUUGGAGCGGCCGAUGUCAGAUUAGGUAGUUGGUGGGGUAAAGGCUCACCAAGCCAACGAUCUGUAGCUGGUCUGAGAGGACGACCAGCCACACUGGGACUGAGACACGGCCCAGACUCCUACGGGAGGCAGCAGUGGGGAAUUUUGGACAAUGGGCGCAAGCCUGAUCCAGCAAUGCCGCGUGCAGGAAGAAGGCCUUCGGGUUGUAAACUGCUUUUGUACGGAACGAAACGGCUCUGGCUAAUACCCGGGGCUAAUGACGGUACCGUAAGAAUAAGCACCGGCUAACUACGUG